CAGGCCUCGAGUAGGGCUGGGGGAGAGAUUCAAUUCCAUUUUCAUUUAAAAGGUGAGCCUAUCCAAUUUGCACUUUCUGGAAUAAUACGACGACUGAAGCACAGCCAGCCUUUGAAAUUCACACUCCUCCGAAUUUUGCAAAGCAGGUUCUCCAACCACUGUUUACAAAAGCAGAUAAAUGGAGGGGAGCAUGGAUGAAAGUGAAAAUGUGAGUGAAAAAUAACAUACGAAACAGCAUUAUAUCAGAGUUCUUUGCAUGUAAAAAUGUGUACAUUGUUAGAACUGCAUAAUUCAGACUACAGCCCAC